AGAUUUGUCACACUUUGAGAGAAAAACUUGUUGCCAUGACAAUGGGCUCAGAGGCUGAAAAGAAGACUUCAACCACUGUCAGCAGCAUCAUUGUGGUGGCCAAGUGGAUCAUCCCCAGAGUAGAUGAUGUUGUGAAAUCAGUGUACCAUCUGUUAAGCACCAAGCUCCUGGAUAUGAAACUGUAGUUGCCCUAUGUUAAAAACAGGAAAGCAGAAGUAAAUGGAUCCUAGACAUUGAAUUGCCUGCCCCAAAUGAAUCCUCGAAUUUACGUUAAGAUCACAUUUUGGAAUUAAUCUUAACAAGACUAAGAGUUUGUAGUAUUACUAAUAUAAAUAACAUCGAAUUUUCAGACA
rnacentral:lncRNA from 1 species